UACGUAGGGGGCAAGCGUUGUCCGGAAUUAUUGGGCGUAAAGGGCUCGUAGGCGGUUUGUCGCGUCGGGAGUGAAAUCCACUGGCUUAACUGGUGGCUUGCUUUCGAUACGGGCAGACUGGAGGUAUGCAGGGGAGAACGGAAUUCCUGGUGUAGCGGUGAAAUGCGCAGAUAUCAGGAGGAACACCGGUGGCGAAGGCG
rnacentral:rRNA from 1 species